UCUGUCUCUCUCAACAUAUUAAGGAGCUCUGGGAGAGUCACCUCAAGCUUGUUCAUAUUAAAAUUCAUUAUGAACUGUGAAAAGGAAUCUGGUAGAGACUGAAGCACAAUGUCCACACACAAGUUAUCCUCUAGGACCAUUCCUAGACCUGUGAGUUUCUCUAUCCACUCAAUCAUCUUUAGGACAUGGUUCUGAACCGGUGUCCCCUCAGUCAUCCUAGCGCGGAAAAGCCUCUUGGAUAUCUCAUAUCGUUGAGUCCUUCCCUGUUCCUUAAACAAUUUGCG
rnacentral:lncRNA from 1 species